rnacentral:rRNA from 1 species
UUAAAUUGAAGAGUUUGAUCAUGGCUCAGAUUGAACGCUGGCGGCAGGCCUACAACAUGCAAGUCGAUGAUAAACGAGUUAUCAGAACCUUCGGGGGAC